GGCUUGGUCUUGGGGCGGGUAGCAACAGCAGCAUCCCCAUUGGAGGCAGGCCCAGGGCCACCUUCAUCGAGCACAGCCCGGAUCUCCUCAGCACGACGAAGAUACUCAGUGAAUUUUUGGGUUAUAGCUUCCCGAAUCUUAGGGUUCUUCUCAUACUUCAAAUGCGUUUUGAAGUACUCGAGCGCGUUCAUGUACAAAGGGAAGGCCUUAGCAUAGUUACCGGCAUUAUCUUCUUGUACGGCUUGCCUGACGUACUCUAUUGCUUGCUCCUUGAAAUUGCUAUACAUCUUAUAGAAGUUCCUGAUCAAUCAAUCAACAGAAGAUAACAUGUGAAAGUUUGGGAUGAAAUGAGAAACCCUAUAAAUAAUUUUGUGUUUUGAUUGAUCGAUUGAUUAUAAUAUGAUGAUGGAUUUGAGAAAGAAAAAUUCUUGGAUUGAAAAUUAGAGAAUAAGAAAAGAGGGAUUUGAAAGAAAAAUAUUGGCAAUUGGGAAUUCUGGGUGAGGGCUUAAGGAGCCAUGUCAAAGAAGGCAAGCGUGUGGGGACUGAGGCGAGGUGAGGAG
rnacentral:misc_RNA from 1 species